AACGAACGCUGGCGGCAUGCCUAACACAUGCAAGUCGAACGAGACCUUCGGGUCUAGUGGCGCACGGGUGCGUAACGCGUGGGAAUCUGCCCUUGGGUUCGGGAUAACAGUUGGAAACGACUGCUAAUACCGGAUGAUGUCUUCGGACCAAAGAUUUAUCGCCCAGGGAUGAGCCCGCGUCGGAUUAGCUAGUUGGUGAGGUAAAGGCUCACCAAGGCGACGAUCCGUAGCUGGUCUGAGAGGAUGAUCAGCCACACUGGGACUGAGACACGGCCCAGACUCCUACGGGAGGCAGCAGUGGGGAAUAUUGGACAAUGGGCGAAAGCUUGAUCCAGCAAUGCCGCGUGAGUGAUGAAGGCCUUAGGGUUGUAAAGCUCUUUUACCCGGGAUGAUAAUGACAGUACCGGGAGAAUAAGCCCCGGCUAACUCCGUGCCAGCCGCCGCCGUAAGAC
rnacentral:rRNA from 1 species